rnacentral:rRNA from 1 species
AAAAAGUUUAAAAAAGUAGUUGACAAAGU